rnacentral:rRNA from 1 species
UGACGACCGGCGCACGGGUGCGUAACACGUAUGUAAUCUACCUUUAACUGGAAGAUAGCCCGAAGAAAUUCGGAUUAAUAUUCCAUAACAUAAUGAAGAGGCAUCUCUUUAUUAUUAAAGCUCCGGCGGUUAAGGAUGAACAUGCGUCUGAUUAGCUAGUUGGCGGGGUAACGGCCCACCAAGGCAACGAUCAGUAGGGGAUCUGAGAGGAUGAUCCCCCACACUGGUACUGAGACACGGACCAGACUCCUACGGGAGGCAGCAGUAAGGAAUAUUGGACAAUGGGGGCAACCCUGAUCCAGCCAUGCCGCGUGAAGGAUGAAGGCGCUAUGCGUCGUAAACUUCUUUUGAACGGGAGAAACCCCGGGUACGUGUACCCGGUUGAUAGUACCGUUAGAAUAAGGGACGGCUAACUUCGUGCCAGCAGCCGCGGUAAUACGAAGGUCCCGAGCGUUAUCCGGAUUCAUUGGGUUUAAAGGGUGCGUAGGUGGAAUGAUAAGUCAGUGGUGAAAUCUUGCAGCUCAACUGUAAAACUGCCAUUGAUACUGUUGUUCUUGAGUGUGGUUGAUGUGGGCGGAAUAUGUCAUGUA